rnacentral:misc_RNA from 1 species
UUUCCGUAGGUGAACCUGCGGAAGGAUCAUUAAAAAUGAAGCCGGGAAACCGGUCCUUCUAACCCUUGAUUAUCUUAAUUUGUUGCUUUUGUGGGCCGCGCAAGCACCAGCUUCGGCUGGAUCGUGCCCGCCAGAGGACACAACUCUGUAUCAAAUGUCGCCUGAGUACUAUAAAAUAGGUAAAACUCUCAACAACGGAUCUCUUGGUUCUG